CCUACGGGAGGCAGCAGUGAGGAAUAUUGGUCAAUGGCCGGACGGCUGAACCAGCCAUGCCGCGUGAAGGUCAGUGCCCUAUGGGCGUUAAACUUCUUUUGUGCGGGAGCAAUAAUGGUCACGUGUGGCCAGACGAGAGUACCGUACGAAUAAGCAUCGGCUAACUCCGUGCCAGCAGCCGCGGUGAUACGGGGGGUGCAAGCGUUAUCCGGAUUUAUUGGGUUUAAAGGGUGCGUAGGCUGUGAGGUAAGUCAGCGGUGAAAUGCCCCCGCUCAACGGGGUGAAGUGCCAUUGAUACUGCCGUGCUGGAAUGCGGAUGCCGUGGGAGGAAUGUGUGGUGUAGCGGUGAAAUGCAUAGAUAUCACACAGAACACCGAUUGCGAAGGCAUCUCACGAAUCCGCGAUUGACGCUGAUGCACGAAAGCGUGGGUAUCAAACAGGAUUAGAUACCCGUGUAGUC
rnacentral:rRNA from 1 species